UAUUAAUUAUAAUUUUAUUGCAUUAUGAUCUGAAAAGGUUGCAUUUAUUAUUUCUGCUUUUUUCAUUUAUUUGCAAUAUUUUUUAUGCCCUAAUCAUGGUCAAUCUUUGUGAAUGUACCAUGUGCUGCUGAGAAGUUGUAUUCUAUUUUGUCCCUAUUUAUUUUUCUCCAUAUAUCUAUUAACUCUUAAUUUUUCUAGGAUUUCAUUCACAUCUCUUCUUUCUUAUGUAUUUUUUGGUUUGAUUUAUCUAGAUCUGGUAGAGGAAGGUUUAGAAAGCCCACUAGUAUAGUUUUACUAUCUAUUUCUUCCUUAAGUUCCAAUAGUUUCUACUUUAAAAAUCUGGAUGUUAUACCAUUUGGUGCAUACAUGUUGAGUACUACUAUUUCUUCCUUGCCUAUGCUGCCUUUUAUCAGUAUAUCAUUUUCUUCUCUAUCGCUUUUAAUAAGAUCUAUUUUUACUUUGACUUUAUUAGAGAUCAUGAUCGCGGCUCCUGCCUUCUUUUUCUCAUUUGAUGUGCUCUAUCUCUCCCCUUUACCCUGUCGAUGUCUACCUGCCUCAGGUGUGUUUCUUGUAGAUAGCAUAUGGUAGGAUUUUGGUUUCUAAUCCACUCUGCUAUCUGCUUCUAUUCUGUUAUGACUACCACCUGUGUAUUCCCCAUUAUUAGGAUUAAUUAAGCCAUAGGGCUCAUAAGGACUGUUUGGAAUCAUUGGUAUUUUAGGGACUAGAAUAGUGAGUAAGGCUUCUUUAAGGCCAGGCAGAAUCUUGGGAAGGGUGCCUUUUGGAAUUCUGGACAGCUCAGAGUCAGUUGGGUUCCCAAUGGCCAACCUGUACAGCAGGUGGUAUCUGAGAGGUUUUCUUUUGUUUUUCCCUUAGGAAAAAGCUGGUGUUUCUUUUCCUUUGAACAGUGAAAAAACCCAGUGGCUGGUGAAGGAGGAGAACAGAAAUGAGGGACCAAGAAGAAGGGAAAGGUUUUUCUUGGUCAAAGAACAUCACCUCUCUGGGGAACAAGCAGACAAGGACCAAACCAGGUGAACCUCCGCUACCAAGGGUUCACCAUAAUAGGGCUAAAUUGAAUGUGGACAUCGAAUUAGUGUUAAAACUAUUUCAGCGAGAAACUCCUGAAUUCAAGUAUCUACCAACCACAGCUUUCCCAGCCCUAAGGAUGACAGAUCUGAGUCAUUUUCUUUCUGAGGAGCUCCCAGGAUUGAUAUUCCUACUGAUUCAGAGCUUUGAACCGAUUUCCAGUUUACAAUCCUAGAGGCUGACGCAUUAAGAGGAAACAAAUUACUUGUUCAUAGUCACACAGCUAAUUUGGAUCAGAGAGAGGCAGCACCUGAAGCUAAGUCUUCCUGAAUCUAUUAAAGCUACAAACAUUCCACCAGUCUCCCUGUUGUUAUCCUCAAUUUCUUACUCUCACUCCACAUAUCCAAUGAGUUAAUGAAUGUUGCUGUUUCUAAGUUCAAAAGAUCUGCAUUUAAUUCUUUCUCUCCACUCACACAACCAUCACCUUAGUAUAGGCUCUCAGUGCCUCUUACCUAGACUAUGUAAUGGUGUAUUAACUGUUUUCCUUGCCACUAGUUUGAUCAUUCCAUUCUCUACCCAGCUGCCAAAGGGAUUUUCCUCAAGUUCCAAUCCGACUAUGAUAGUCCCCUACUCAAUAAACUUCAGCAGCUCUCUCUAACUUCUGUGACA
ensembl:lncRNA